rnacentral:rRNA from 1 species
GAUGAACGCUGGCGGCGUGCCUAAUACAUGCCAGUCGAGCGAACAGACGAGGAGCUUGCUCCUCUGACGUUAGCGGCGGACGGGUGAGUAACACGUGGAUAACCUACCUAUAAGACUGGGAUAACUUCGGGAAACCGGAGCUAAUACCGGAUAAUAUAUCGAACCGCAUGGUUCAAUAGUGAAAGACGGUUUUGCUGUCACUUAUAGAUGGAUCCGCGUCGCAUUAGCUAGUUGGUAAGGUAACGGCUUACCAAGGCGACGAUGCGUAGCCGACCUGAGAGGGUGAUCGGCCACACUGGAACUGAGACACGGUCCAGACUCCUACGGGAGGCAGCAGUAGGGAAUCUUCCGCAAUGGGCGAAAGCCUGACGGAGCAACGCCGCGUGAGUGAUGAAGGUCUUCGGAUCGUAAAACUCUGUUAUUAGGGAAGAACAAAUGUGUAAGUAACUAUGCACGUCUUGACGGUACCUAAUCAGAAAGCCACGGCUAACUACGUG